ensembl:ncRNA lncRNA:CR45148 long non-coding RNA:CR45148
GGCAGUUGAAGAAUGCCACUUGAAGAGCCAGCGACGCCGUCGAGCACUCCAAGUCUCCAAGUUCUUCGUUCUUCUCGUAUGAUGCAUGUGAGAGAAUGAAGAAAGCAAUGCGGCCGAGGUGGAGCUGGAAACUACAGUGGGCACUAAGCAUGUUGAACAAACAAUUAUGUAGUACUUUGUACUACUAUAGUAUGUGAUAUAUUGCUUUCAAAUUUGUAAGAUUGAGGUUUGACUGCCAGCUUUAUUAUUCCAAAGACAACCGACGAACAAAGUGAUGAGAAUCCGCAGGAAGGAGGAGCUUCGCUCCAGUUGCACAAAAGGAGCAGUAACCCUUCUACAGCUUGGAAUGGAAAAUAAUUACGAUUCCAGCUGGUAAACGCAGGCAUUGGAGUUGCACUGCCCAAGGCCCAUGUGCCUCACUUCAUUUGCAGCAAAUGUUGCAUGUCCCUUGCCAGCGAAAUCGUACUGCAUACAAAAGUAUCUGAAGGAUUGCAAGCGGUUGCGGUUGCGCGGAAAUGUCGCUUGUGACGAAUUUCUAUUUGAUUUAUGCACUCCCUUUGCAGCAUAUUUACAUGCUAUUCAUUCACGCCCUUCAACAUUCGAUGUAGUUUUAUUACCAAAUCAAAUGGGAUUCACCACAAAGUAAAUACUCUGAACGGAAAUCUGUUUCACAUCAGUAAUGAACAUUU